UACGUAGGGUCCGAGCGUUGUCCGGAGUUACUGGGCGUAAAGCGCGUGUAGGCGGCUAUGUAAGUCGGGCGUGAAAUCCCACGGCUCAACCGUGGAAGUGCACCCGAAACUGCGUAGCUAGAGUCCUGGAGAGGAAGGUGGAAUGCUUGGUGUAGAGGUGAAAUUCGUAGAUAUCAAGCGGAACACCGGUGGCGAAGGCGGCCUUCUGGACAGUGACUGACGCUGAGACGCGAAAGCGUGGGGAGCAAACAGG
rnacentral:rRNA from 1 species